UAAGACAGAGGUGCCGAGCGUUAGGCGGAAUCACUGGGCUUAAAGCGCGUGUAGGCGGGUCCGUAAGUGCCUUGUGAAAUCCCACGGCUCAACCGUGGAACUGCUGGGCAUACUGCGGGUCUUGGGCCAUCUAGGGGCGAGCGGAACAAGCGGUGGAGCGGUGAAAUGCGUAGAUAUCGCUUGGAACGCCAAUGGUGAAAACAGCUCGCUGGGGAUGUGCCGACGCUGAGACGCGAAAGCCAGGGGAGCGAACGGGAUUAGAUACCCCGGUAGUCCUGGCCCUAAACGAUGUCCACUAGGUCGUGGUCCUUUUGACGGGUUCGCGGCCGAAGCAAAAGUGCUAAGUGGACCGCCUGGGAAGUACGGUCGCAAGGCUA
rnacentral:rRNA from 1 species